AUUGAACGAGGGAGGAAGGAGGUACACAAGCAAGUCGAACGGCAGCGCGGGCUUCGGCCUGGCGGCGAGUGGCGAACGGGUGAGUAAUGCAUCGGAACGUGCCCAGUAGUGGGGGAUAGCCCGGCGAAAGCCGGAUUAAUACCGCAUACGACCUGAGGGUGAAAGCGGGGGACCGAAAGGCCUCGCGCUAUUGGAGCGGCCGAUGUCGGAUUAGCUAGUUGGUGGGGUAAAGGCUUACCAAGGCGACGAUCCGUAGCUGGUCUGAGAGGACGACCAGCCACACUGGGACUGAGACACGGCCCAGACUCCUACGGGAGGCAGCAGUGGGGAAUUUUGGACAAUGGGGGCAACCCUGAUCCAGCCAUGCCGCGUGCGGGAAGAAGGCCUUCGGGUUGUAAACCGCUUUUGUUCGGGAAGAAAUCCUCUGGGCUAAUACCCCGGGGGGAUGACGGUACCGGAAGAAUAAGCACCGGCUCCCUACGUC
rnacentral:rRNA from 1 species